GCCCCCAUAGCCCAAUUGGCAGAGGCAGACGACUUAAAAUCGUCCGAGUGAGGGUUCGAGUCCCUCUGGGGGUACGA
rnacentral:tRNA from 1 species